rnacentral:lncRNA from 1 species
AUAGUGUUUGCCUCUGAAGUGGGGGUAUGAACAGUGACAUAUCAUGUGUGCAAUGUCCCUUAAUUUUGGUGCUCGUUGUUGAAUAAGUUCAAACAACGAGCACCAAAACCCAAUGAGACCAUUACAACGUAUGAUUUUAAAAACCUUUACCCAUCGAUAAACUUAGAGGCAGCAUGUAUGGCACUCUACCAUUUCCUUCUUAAGAAUGUGCCCGACUCAAGAGAAGCACCUAAUAUAUUGAGGGACAUUGCGCACAUGAUGUGUCACUGCUCAUAUUUUUACUUCAGAGGUGGGUGCUAUGAACAAAGAGGAGGGGUCCCCAUCGGAGGCCCAGUGGCUGGUGUUCUGGUGGAGAUCGUGAUUCGAGAGGUGGAGGAGGAAGCCGUGAGUGGGCUGGGACCAGGCAUUCAUGAGUGUAUGUGUUAUGUGGACGAUGUCCUUGUCGUAUGG